CUCUUCUUGGUUUGUAUUUGAAGUAUGACCUGCCCACUGAGUUAAUUGAAGGGCCGCGGUAUUUUGACCGUGCAAAGGUAGCAUAAUCAUUAGUUCUUUAAUUGUGAACUGGUAUGAAUGGUUUGACGAGACAUUAGCUGUCUUUGAAUUAGGUUAUAUUGAAUUUGUUGUUUGGGUAAAAAUACCUAAAUUUUUUUAUGGGACGAGAAGACCCUAUAGAGUUUUAUAUAAUAUAUCUUUUAUUUGUUAGUUGUGUUUUAUGGAUUAUUUAUAUUUUGUUGGGGUGAUGGGAAGAUAAGUGUAACUCUUCUUUUUUCUUUUCACUGAUUUGUGUUUUUGUGAUCCUUUAUUAUUGAUUAUAAGAUUAAAUUACCUUA
rnacentral:rRNA from 1 species